GCGGGUGAAGAGGGGGCUGCGGCGGCGGGGGGAGGCGCUGUGGCACCGGGACUCGAUGUCGGCAGGGGGCUGCGGGCCGCGGCAGGGCGAACGGACUGCGGCCGCGACGCUGCGGCGGCGGCCGCGCAGCUCGCCCGCCCCUCUCCCGGGGCUGCCGCGCACACGGCCGAUGGGCGAGGGCCCUCCGGCGGCGACAGGGCCGGGGGCGCCCGAGGGGCUGGAAGGGGACGGGCGCUGCCCCCGCCCGUCCACGGGAGGAGCUCCGCGCCGCACCGCCCCCGCAGAGCUGGGAAGCGGGCGCAGGGGCCGAGGCUGCGCCGUCCGCCCGUCGUGGACGCGGCGCUAAAGCGCGGGAGGCCGGAGAGCGGUCAGGCCGGAGGGGCGGCCGCUCUCGCGCCGGAGCCGUCCCCGCCAGCGGCGAGGGCGCUGCGGGCGGCCCGUCCCGGCACCGCGCUGCCGGCUGCUGCGCGGGCGGCGAGCGGCGCGCACUUUGCAGACGGUCCCUGCGCCGCUCUCUGCAGCGCCGCGCAGGCGCCCCGCGCCCGGCGCGGGGACGGCGGCCCCGGCGCGAGCGGGAGAGCGGCGCGGCGGGGAGGAGCAUGGACGGGACGAGCUGGACCCAGAUGCAUCCUCAGUCUGCUGUUUUAAAGCUGUUCCUGCUUCAGGUCAAUGAGAGUAUCUGCUGCUAAUUCACCAUGACAUAAUAUCUGGUCUCCUGCCCCUUCCUGUUGGAUAAGUUUCCUGCUUCCUCUUGGUCUAUACACAUGUGACUCCGGGCGUUCAUCAGCUACCUUGUCUGGUACAGGUGAAUGGAAUGCUGAAAAAAUUAGAAAACCGUCUUACCUGCUGCUACAGACAUAGCAAGUUCCUUCACUUCAGGAUUUAUCUUUCAUCACCUGCUUCAGUGUUUCCAGCCUAAAUUUUCUGUCUAACAUUUUAGGCUCAUCUGAUUUUUUUUUUUUUUUUUUUAAAUCCUCUGUCCUGACUGGCUGUGAAACUUCUCCAAAAUCUUCUCAUUUGAGGAUUUAAUCUACAUGACUCUUACUUCCCUCUUUUAGAUCUCUGAAGAUGGUAAAACAAUCUGGAUAUAACAACCAUCCUUGGAGUCCUUAGUAGCCACUUCCCUUCCACUUGUUUUUAUCAUUUGUUUAUAACCUUUCAGUAAUUCUUAUUUUUCCCGGCAAUUAGAUACAAAAUAUGUGCAUGUUAAGAAUUUCAGGCGUGUAAUGACACUUUACUACAUUGCAUUUAAGUUACAUUUGCCAUUUCCCACUGGCUGCCAUUUUGCAAAGUCAUUGAUGUUUGCUGUAAUUUUGUACUCUUUGAGGUUAACUUUGACUUUUUUUGGAGGGGUAAUCUAUUUGUAAU